rnacentral:lncRNA from 1 species
CCUUCCUGAGUGAACUGCUGUGACCAAACUUCGUGCUUCUGGAAUGGAAUAUCAUUUCCAUUUCACGUAUAAGGAAACUGAGACACAGGGGAAAUAAUCUGACCAAGGACACAGCUAAGAAACUUACGCUUUUACCACUGUGUUACAAGCCUUGUUAUAUACUGUAAACUUGUUAUGUAAUACAUAAUUUCUUGAAUAUUUUUCAUGUUAUUAAAACUCUGAUAACAUAUUAUUUUAAUGUCUAAAUCAAUAUUAUAUCCUUUAUAUAACCAGACCUCUAUUAUGAAAUACUUAGAUUGUUUCACUCUUUUAUUUAAUAAAUAAUGCUGUAGUAAAUAUAUUUGCAAAGAAGGAUUUUUCUGUAUUUAGAGUUUUUGGAGGGAUACAUUCUCAGAAGCAGUAUUAUGAAGUUUAGUGGUAUGACUAUUUUAAAGCCCUUGAGUUAUAUUGCAAAUUACUUUUCAAAGAUGAUGUACCAAUUUACAUACCUAAUGUAAAGUAGGAGAGAUGCCUCUUUCACUGAACUGUCACUGUCAUCAAGUAGCACAUAUUCUUUUCUCUGAAUAAAGAGCAAUAUUCAAU